rnacentral:rRNA from 1 species
GAGUUUGAUCCUGGCUCAGGAUGAACGCUGGCGGCGUGCUUAACACAUGCAAGUCGAACGAAGCGCCUUAUUUGAUUUUCUUCGGAACUGAAGAUUUGGUGACUGAGUGGCGGACGGGUGAGUAACGCGUGGGUAACCUGCCCUGUACAGGGGGAUAACAAUCAGAAAUGACUGCUAAUACCGCAUAAGACCACAGCACCGUCAUGGUGCCAGGGGGUAAAAACUCCGGUGGUACAGGAUGGACCCGCGUCUGAUUAGCUGGUUGGUGAGGUAACGGCUCACCAAGGCGACGAUCAGUAGCCGGCUUGAGAGAGUGAACGGCCACAUUGGGACUGAGACACGGGCCCAAACUCCUACGGGAGGCAGCAGUGGGGAAUAUUGCACAAUGGGGGAAACCCUGAUGCAGCAACGCCGCGUGAGUGAAGAAGUAUUUCGGUAUGUAAAGCUCUAUCAGCAGGGAAG